rnacentral:lncRNA from 1 species
GAGAACGCCUCAAUCGGGAUCCACAAGCAAACAUCUCCGAAAAACACUUCAUAGACAAUGCAAAUUACAAACAGACUUUACAAGCUUUGAACAGUGGCACAACAAAGGGUAAAAUGGUCCAUUACAGACCGAAAAGCUCUCGCACGUGUCCACAUGACACAACCUUUAUUUACAAGCCUAAAGAGGCCAUCAACCCAACUAAAAUGGGACUAUUAAGCCUUCGGCCGCCCCUCUACAUGUUGUACAAGGCAUGAACAUGCCAAAAGACACGGACAUACAUAAGCAUUACAUCAAACACCUUGUUUAAAAGUUUGUCCGUGACAUUCUCCCCCACUUAUUCCUUCGACGUCCUCGUUGAAGCCUUUGUCGAC